AUGAAAAGUGAGAUCUUUAAAAGUCACCAUUAAGUGUCUUUGAUAAGAACUUUUCUUUAGACAUAUAUUCUCGUGCCCAAGCCAGCGAAUAAAUUUAAUCAUUUGUGUAUUGGUUAAAUAUAAAUUCCAUCAAUUCUUAAUUCAUCGUUAGCAGCAGUUUCCAACAAAUAAAUUUAUUAUAAUUUUCGAAAUGUUAAUGCUAAAAGCAACAACAGAAAUAAAACACAACAAUUAUUAAAAAAACCAACAA